CUACGGGUUGCUGCAGCGGGGAAUAUUGCACAAUGGAGGAAACUCUGAUGCAGCAACGCCGCGUGGAGGAUGACACUUUUCGGAGCGUAAACUCCUUUUAUAUAGGAAGAAGAUGACGGUACUAUAUGAAUAAGCGCCGGCUAACUCCGUGCCAGCAGCCGCGGUAAUACGGAGGGCGCAAGCGUUACUCGGAAUCACUGGGCGUAAAGAGCGUGUAGGCGGAUUAAAAAGUCAGAAGUGAAAUCCUAUAGCUUAACUAUAGAACUGCUUCUGAAACUCUUAAUCUAGAAUAUGGGAGAGGUAGAUGGAAUUUCUGGUGUAGGGGUAAAAUCCGUAGAGAUCAGAAGGAAUACCGAUUGCGAAGGCGAUCUACUAGAACAUUAUUGACGCUGAGACGCGAAAGCGUGGGGAGCAAACAGGAUUAGAUACCCCCAUAGUC
rnacentral:rRNA from 1 species